CAUGGACGCGGGGCUCCGGGCAGCUCUAAGCCACAGGCAGCUCACCCUCUAUCUCCUCGGGAAGGGGAGGCUGGCGGGGUAGAGAGAAAAGCAGUGUGCUGACUGAGCAUCCCCAAAAAGCUGAAGGAGGUAUUUGAAGAAAACGACCAAAGCAGAAAAGGAGAGGAAGAUGGAAAGAGGAAUGCAAACUAUUCUGUCUCUUCUAGAAAAUAGUGACCCUUAGUCCUGGCACCCUGAUCUCCAGUUGGUCCCUCCUUCAGUCUCACAGUUCCAGCCCCUGCCUGAGGCUUCCUACACAGAAAAAGGAAGCCAGCAGGUACUCUCAGGUGGAGACCCAGACCCUUUUCUCUCCCUCUCUCUGUAACUCAGGCAGGCACUGAUAAGCUCAGGAGAGUCCAAGGCCUGUAGACAUGUAGGAAGCAAGAGAUCUCAUACAAGGAAACAUUUUGAUUCGACCCAGUGACAUCUCAAACAGCAAGAAAAGAUGGUUAAAAUGGUUUAAAUUCUCAUUAAAAGCACACCUAUUGUUUAA